rnacentral:rRNA from 1 species
CUCUUGAGAGCGGCGGACGGGUGAGUAAGGCCUAUGAAUCUGCGUGGGAGUGGGGGAUAACGCUCGGAAACGGACGCUAAUACCGCGUACGUCCUACGGGAGAAAGCGGGGGACCUUCGGGCCUUGGGCUAUCAGAUGAGCCUAGGUCGGAGUAGCUAGUUGGUGAGGGAAUGGCUCACCAAGGCGACGAUCCGUAACUGGGCUGAGAGGAUGAUGAGUCACACUGGAACUGAGACACGGUCCAGACUCCUACGGGAGGCAGCAGUGGGGAAUAUUGGACAAUGGGCGAAAGCCUGAUCCAGCCAUGCCGCGUGUGUGAAGAAGGUCUUCGGAUUGUAAAGCACUUUAAGUUGGGAGGAAGGGCAGUUACCUAAUACGUAUCUGUUUUGACGUUACCGACAGAAUAAGCACCGGCUAACUCUGUGCCAGCAGCCGCGGUAAUACAGAGGGUGCAAGCGUUAAUCGGAAUUACUGGGCGUAAAGCGCGCGUAGGUGGUUCGUUAAGUUGGAUGUGAAAGCCCCGGGCUCAACCUGGGAACUGCAUUCAAAACUG